GCGGAUACGAGAGAUCGUAUCCUUCAGUUCGGCUGGAUCGGAGACAGGUGCUGCAUGGCUGUCGUCAGCUCGUGUCGUGAGAUGUUGGGUUAAGUCCCGCAACGAGCGCAACCCUCGCCCUUAGUUGCCAGCAUUCAGUUGGGCACUCUAAGGGGACUGCCGGUGAUAAGCCGAGAGGAAGGUGGGGAUGACGUCAAGUCCUCAUGGCCCUUACGGGCUGGGCUACACACGUGCUACAAUGGUGGUGACAGUGGGCAGCGAGACCGCGAGGUCGAGCUAAUCUCCAAAAGCCAUCUCAGUUCGGAUUGCACUCUGCAACUCGAGUGCAUGAAGUUGGAAUCGCUAGUAAUCGCAGAUCAGCAU
rnacentral:rRNA from 1 species